ACUCCUACGGGAGGCAGCAGUGGGGAAUAUUGCACAAUGGGCGAAAGCCUGAUGCAGCCAUGCCGCGUGUAUGAAGAAGGCCUUCGGGUUGUAAAGCACUUUCAGUCGUGAGGAAGGGUGUGUAGUUAAUAGCUGCAUAUCUUGACGUUAGCGACAGAAGAAGCACCGGCUAACUCCGUGCCAGCAGCCGCGGUAAUAC
rnacentral:rRNA from 1 species